UCUUCGCUCCGAUCCCAUUUAUUCUGGCAAUGAUUUUUCCUAAAAUCCAGGUCUAUUGAUAUUUCGCUAUUGCUGUUUAUGGUGCCUUUGUUUUGUCCUUUUCCAAUUGACAUUUGUUUGAUUCUUGUAUCGUCGCUUUCUGCUUCCCACAAUCAGCAUCUCUUGCAUCCUUGAAAAAAAGAUGAGUGGACUCCAUCUAUGCUUCUUGAUGAUUGUUCGUGACAAAGUAGUCCGGGCAUAUAUUUAUUAAGUACUACUAUCAUAAGCAGAUCCUGAUCAGGUCAAUCAGUGAGUGCCUGGUUGUGGAGAUUUUGAAAAGGAAUCAGGGAUUGGGUAUUUGCUGUUUUGAAACAAACAUCAGCAACGCUGUCUUUGGUUACAAGCCACAGGCGCACCCGGAGUAAGGUCGACCAUCAGGACAGGUCAGGUUUCGCUACGGUGGUGAGGCCUCUUCCAACUGGCAUAAGCGCCCCUCCUUUGGAUGUUUCUUCUUAUUUCUUACAGGGCAGGACUCAGAUCAAAUGUCGGCCCUGGUAAUUCAUCUAUCAUCCAGUUACCAAAACAUGUUGGAUUUUAAAGGCCCAUAGUCUGUAAACGGCAGCGUGCAUUUUAAAUUAUUGAUUCUUGCUUGGCUAACGUGUGCUGAGUCCGUGCAUGUAUCCCCGAUGUCAUGUCUGUAUUUGAAAAUUUGCAUGCAAGGAAGCGCGUGAGGUGAGGACCACCAUUUUUUAAA